rnacentral:rRNA from 1 species
CCUACGGGAGGCAGCAGUGAGGAAUAUUGGUCAAUGGACGAGGGUCUGAACCAGCCAAGUAGCGUGAAGGAUGACUGCCCUAUGGGUUGUAAACUUCUUUUAUAUGGGAAUAAAAUGUUCCACGUGUGGGAUUUUGUAUGUACCAUAUGAAUAAGGAUCGGCUAACUCCGUGCCAGCCGCCGCGGUCAUACGGAGGAUCCGAGCGUUAUCCGGGUUUAUUGGGUUUAAAGGGAGCGUAGGUGGAUUGUUAAGUAAGUUUUGAAAGUUUGCGGCUCAACCGUAAAAUUGCAGUUGACACUGGCAGUCUUGAGUACAGUAGAGGUGGGCGGAAUUCGUGGUGUCGCGGUGAAAUGCUUAGAUAUCACGAAGAACUCCGAUUGCGAAGGCAGCUCACUGGACUGCAACUGACACUGAGGCUCGAAAGUGUGGGUAUCAAACAGGAUGAGAGACCCGGGUAGUC